rnacentral:lncRNA from 13 species
GUUUACAUGUUCUUAAUUUUACAGUUUUUGAUAACCCACUGGCAUCUUCACAGCCGUCCUGGAAAAUGUGAGGUUUGGUUUCCAGGAUGCUGGCCUGCAGGUUUUUGGAUUGACAGAAUCCUGAGAAAGUCUGGGCACCAAGACAUCAGUUUGCAAAGCAAGACUCUGAGGCACUUGGAGGAACUUAAGAGACCUGGAAGAGAGGAGAUGGCAACAGGACAUUAAGCAAAAACCAAGGAGAGAUAUGCACACACUUCAGCCCAGGAAUUGAGAUUAGACAUCAGGGAGCCUUCAUGGAGAGGGAAGAAUGUGGACUUGCAAAGUCUGUCUGCAUGGGUGCAAUCAAGUGUUUCUGAAUGCCAGCUCCCUGCAAGACACUGUGAUCAGGGCUGCGACUCCAAAGACAAGCAAGGCUCAGAGCCCCUGCCUUCAUGGAACUUAAAGUGGAAGUCAGGAGAAAUAAGUGAAUAAAUUAUCAUGGUGCUUAUGACUAUUGGGGUGG